AUUGAACGCUGGCGGCAGGCCUAACACAUGCAAGUCGAGCGGGAACUUCGGUUCUAGCGGCGGACGGGUGAGUAAUGCGUAGGAAGCUACCCGACAGAGGGGGAUACCAGUUGGAAACGACUGUUAAUACCGCAUAAUGUCUACGGACCAAAGUGUGGGACCUUCGGGCCACAUGCUGUCGGAUGCGCCUACGUGGGAUUAGCUAGUUGGUGAGGUAAUGGCUCACCAAGGCGACGAUCCCUAGCUGGUUUGAGAGGAUGAUCAGCCACACUGGAACUGAGACACGGUCCAGACUCCUACGGGAGGCAGCAGUGGGGAAUAUUGGACAAUGGGCGAAAGCCUGAUCCAGCCAUGCCGCGUGUGUGAAGAAGGCCUUCGGGUUGUAAAGCACUUUCAGUAGGGAGGAAGAGUUGAGUGUUAAUAGUACUCAGCUCUGACGUUACCUACAGAAGAAGCACCGGCUAACUCUGUGCCAGCCGCCGCCGUAAGAC
rnacentral:rRNA from 1 species